GACGAACGCUGGCGGCGUGCCUAAUACAUGCAAGUCGAACGCAGUUGCGAACGGGUGAGUAACGUGUAGGUAACUGCCCCAUCGCGGGGGAUGACUAUUGGAAACGAUAGCUAAUCUCGCAUACUGUGGGAUGGACCUGCGUUGUAUUAGCUAGUUGGUGAGGUAAAGGCUCACCAAGGCGACGAUACAUAGCCGACCUGAGAGGGUGAUGGGCGACACCGGGAACGAGACACGGGCCAGACUCCUACGGGUGGCAGGAGUAGGGAAACUGGGGCAAAUGACGGAAGUCGGACCGGGCAACGGCGGGUGAGUGAAGAAGGGUUUCGGAUCGUAAAGCUUGGUUGUUAGAGAAGCGGUAACUAACCAGAAAGGGACGGCUAACUACGUGCCAGCAGCCGCGGUAAUUC
rnacentral:rRNA from 1 species